CAGGUACUGGGUAGCCUCGGCCCUGUCUCAGGUACUGGGUAGCCUCGGCCCUGUCUCAGGUACUGGGUAGCCUCGGCCCUGUCUCAGGUACUGGGUAGCCUCGGCCCUGUCUCAGGUACUGGGUAGCCUCGGCCCUGUCUCAGGUACUGGGUAGCCUCGGCCCUGUCUCAGGUACUGGGUAGCCUCGGCCCUGUCUCAGGUACUGGGUAGCCUCGGCCCUGUCUCAGGUACUGGGUAGCCUCGGCCCUGUCUCAGGUACUGGGUAGCCUCGGCCCUGUCUCAGGUACUGGGUAGCCUCGGCCCUGUCUCAGGUACUGGGUAGCCUCGGCCCUGUCUCAGGUACUGGGUAGCCUCGGCCCUGUCUCAGGUACUGGGUAGCCCCGGCCCUGUCUCAGGUACUGGGUAGCCCCGGCCCUGUCUCAGGUACUGGGUAGCCUCGGCCCUGUCUCAGGUACUGGGUAGCCUCGGCCCUGUCUCAGGUACUGGGUAGCCUCGGCCCUGUCUCAGGUACUGGGUAGCCUCGGCCCUGUCUCAGGUACUGGGUAGCCUAGGCCCUGUCUCAGGUACUGGGUAGCCUCGGCCCCGUCUCAGGUACUGGGUAGCCUCGGCCCCGUCUCAGGUACUGGGUAGCCUCGGCCCCGUCUCAGGUACUGGGUAGCCUCGGCCCCGUCUCAGGUACUGGGUAGCCUCGGCCCCGUCUCAGGUACUGGGUAGCCUCGGCCCCGUCUCAGGUACUGGGUAGCCUCGGCCCCGUCUCAGGUACUGGGUAGCCUCGGCCCCGUCUCAGGUACUGGGUAGCCUCGGCCCCGUCUCAGGUACUGGGUAGCCUCGGCCCCGUCUCAGGUACUGGGUAGCCUCGGCCCCGUCUCAGGUACUGGGUAGCCUCGGCCCCGUCUCAGGUACUGGGUAGCCUCGGCCCCGUCUCAGGUACUGGGUAGCCUCGGCCCCGUCUCAGGUACUGGGUAGCCUCGGCCCCGUCUCAGGUACUGGGUAGCCUCGGCCCCGUCUCAGGUACUGGGUAGCCUCGGCCCCGUCUCAGGUACUGGGUAGCCUCGGCCCCGUCUCAGGUACUGGGUAGCCUAGGCCCCGUCUCAGGUACUGGGUAGCCUAGGCCCCGUCUCAGGUACUGGGUAGCCUCGGCCCCGUCUCAGGUACUGGGUAGCCUAGGUACUGGGUAGCCUCGGCUGCCAGAGGUCAUGGGUUUCGUUCUGACCCUCUGCACUUCUCACUCGCUAACUAUACAACACUGUCCUGUC